rnacentral:tRNA from 1 species
GAGGGUAUAGCUCAGGGGUAGAGCACAUGCUUAGCAUGCACGAAGUCCUGGGUUUAAUGCUCAGUACCUCUG